AUGAACGCUAGCUACAGGCUUAACACAUGCAAGUCGAGGGGAAACGACAUCGACAGCUUGCUUUUGAUGGGCGUCGACCGGCGCACGGGUGAGUAACGCGUAUCCAACCUGCCCAUCACUUGGGAAUAACCUUGCGAAAGUAAGACUAAUACCCAAUGAUAUCCCACGAAGGCAUCGGAAUGGGAUUAAAGAUUUAUCGGUGAUGGAUGGGGAUGCGUCUGAUUAGCUUGUUGGCGGGGUAACGGCCCACCAAGGCAACGAUCAGUAGGGGUUCUGAGAGGAAGGUCCCCCACAUUGGAACUGAGACACGGUCCAAACUCCUACGGGAGGCAGCAGUGAGGAAUAUUGGUCAAUGGGCGAGAGCCUGAACCAGCCAAGUAGCGUGCAGGAAGACGGCCCUAUGGGUUGUAAACUGCUUUUAUAAGGGAAUAAAGUGGGUCACGUGUGACUUUUUGCAUGUACCUUAUGAAUAAGGACCGGCUAAUUCCGUG
rnacentral:rRNA from 1 species